CGGGGGUCGGGUGGCAACCCGUGCGCGGAGUGAAAGCGAACGGAGGUGGGAGCCCCCUCGAGGGGCGCACCAUCGACCGAUCCUGAAGUCUUCGGAUGGAUUUGAGUAGGAGCGUAGCUGUGGGGACCCGAAAGAUGGUGAACUAUGCCUGAAUAGGGUGAAGCCAGAGGAAACUCUGGUGGAGGCUCGCAGCGGUUCUGACGUGCAAAUCGAUCGUCAAAUUUGGGUAUAGGGGCGAAAGACUAAUCGAACCAUCUAGUAGCUGGUUCCUUCCGAA
rnacentral:rRNA from 1 species